UACAGAGGGUGCAAGCGUUGUCCGGAAUCACUGGGCGUAAAGGGCGCGUAGGCGGGACGUUAAGUCCGAUGUGAAGUCCCUCGGCUCAACUGAGGACGUGCAUCGGAUACUGGCGACCUUGAGUCCUGGAGAGGGUAGCGGAAUUCCCAGUGUAGAGGUGAAAUUCGUAGAUAUUGGGAGGAACACCGGUGGCGAAGGCGGCUACCUGGACAGUGACUGACGCUGAGGCGCGAAAGCAUGGGGUAGCAAACAGG
rnacentral:rRNA from 1 species